rnacentral:rRNA from 1 species
AUUGAACGCUGGCGGCAGGCCUAACACAUGCAAGUCGAGCGGAGCGGCGGACGGGGGAGGAAUGCCUAGGAAGCUGCCUGGUAGUGGGGGAUAACGUCCGGAGACGGGCGACAAUACCGCAUACAAUAAAGUGAGCCUCGGUUGGAUUAGCUAGUUGGUGGGGUAAAGGCCUACCAAGGCGACGAUCCGUAACUGGUCUGAGAGGAUGAUCAGUCACACUGGAACUGAGACACGGUCCAGACUCCUACGGGAGGCAGCAGUAGGGAAUCUUGGGCAAUGGGCGAAAGUCUGAUCCAGCAACGCCGCGUGUGUGAAGAAGGUUUUCGGAUUGUAAAGCACUUUUGGUAGGGAAGCGUUACCAACAGAGUAAGCAACGGCUAACUUCGUGCCAGCAGCCGCGGUAAUUC